UUAGGCUCAGAUUGAACGCUGGCGGCGUGCUUAACACAUGCAAGUCGAACGCGAAAGGGACUUCGGUCCUGAGUAAAGUGGCGCACGGGUGAGUAACGCGUGGAUAAUCUGCCCUUAUGAUCGGGAUAACAGUUGGAAACGGCUGCUAAUACCGGAUACGCUCAAAAUGAACUUUUUGUAGGAAAGAUGGCCUCUGCUUGCAUGCUAUCACGUAAGGAUGAGUCCGCGUCCCAUUAGCUUGUUGGCGGGGUAACGGCCCACCAAGGCAACGAUGGGUAGCCGAUUUGAGAGGAUGAUCGGCCACACUGGAACUGAAACACGGUCCAGACUCCUACGGGAGGCAGCAGUGGGGAAUAUUGCGCAAUGGGCGAAAGCCUGACGCAGCGACGCCGCGUGAGGGAUGAAGGUUUUCGGUAUCGUAAACCUCUGUCAGAAGGGAAGAAACUACGUUGUGCUAAUCAGCAGCGUACUGACGGUACCUUCAAAGGAAGCACCGGCUAACUCCGUGCCAGCCGCUGC
rnacentral:rRNA from 1 species